GCGAUCUUCCAUCCACGAUUAAUCUAUGGCAGUCUCAAACCCCAACCUCACUCCCCAUCGACAAUCUGCCUAUAUCAAUUCCGCCUCCAUCUUCUCCAUCCGCGAUCUUCCAACCUCACUCCCCGUCUAGGCGAUCUUCCAUCCGCGAUUAAUGCACGGCGGUCUCGAACCCCAACCUCACUCCUCGUCGACGAUCUGCCAAAUAGUGGGUGGGUUAACCCACGUCGCUCCCGACCCACGACGACUAGACCAGUCCUGUAUACGAGAGGUUUGAAACCGUGUGGUUUGCAGGUGGUAGAGAUAAACGCCGAUAUGGCGAAUUUGGUGAAAUUAAGGCUGCAUUUGAUGGAGAGAAAUGACGGUCUCAGAAAGCAUAUCAGACAACGAGCACAAUUGUUCCAUAUCUGAUCUCUCCUCUGUUUACUCAUGUGAUGAGGACUUCAAUCCCUCUGAUUAUCAAUAAAAUACACAAUCUUUGUGUCAGGGGAGUUUGGAGGUUGUUGUACAAGUUUCAUGACAAAUCCAUUUUGAUUAGCAGCAGCUCUAAAGUGCGGAUCACUGUCCAAUAUAUGUGGCUUUGCAUUGUCUAGUUGGAUGUCGAUAAACUUAGCUCCUAUGUGGGUCAUCCUCCCCCGAUGCCAAAUAAAAUCUCUGAGACCCUUUUGUAAGCAUCCCAAUAGCUUGAGCAAGUAUACCUUGAUAUGGAGAACUUUGUUGUGGCUUCCACGAAGGUCCCGUAUGCUGGUUUUCCAUUGAUGCAACGACCAAGGAUGAAUUGAACGACUUGGUUCCGCUGCUCCAUGGAGUACUCACGUGGCCUCAUCUUUUCUUGUUUGAUAUUUUUUAUUUCUCCUAGUUGAUGCAAGGAAAAUUAAGAAUGUGGGAUGGUGUGUAUUUAUAAGUAGUGGCUGACAUUUUAGGCGCCAUGUGUAUGAUAAAUUUUUGAUUUGUUUAGAAUUGAAAUCUUUUUAGACUUGCCGCCAUAAUUUUGAAAGCUUUUGAUCCCAACUCUAAUUUAAGGA